GGCGGCGCGUGCAGGCAGAGCCCGGCCAGGCAGCCAGGGAGGGGGCCGCGCGGGGCCCGGCAGCAGCUGCAGCUCGUUGCCAGGCCUUGGCCGCUCAUUGGCCGGCUGCAUGGGCGCCCCGCUGAAAUAGGCGCGCCGCCCCCCCUCGCCCACCUGCACCGCGCACCGCACGCGACCCCCCCUGGCCCGGCCCGGCCCUGCUCACCCGCACCCACCCGCCCCACCUCUCCCACCCCACCCAGCAAGCGAGUGAGGCCAGGGACCCUCAAGAGACAAGGACCCCCCACCACAGCCUCCCCCCUUCGGACCCACCAUGAGCAACCUGGCCAAAGAGAACGAGCACAGCAGCAACAACCUCGAGGAAGAGGUACGGACACUCUUUGUCAGCGGCCUUCCUGUAGAUAUCAAACCCAGAGAGCUCUACCUGCUUUUUCGGCCGUUCAAGGGUUAUGAAGGAUCGCUGAUCAAACUAACGUCCAAACAGCCGGUCGGCUUUGUUACCUUUGACAGCCGGUCUGGUGCCGAAGCGGCCAAGAACGCCUUGAAUGGCAUCCGCUUCGACCCAGAGAACCCCCAGACGUUGCGGUUAGAGUUUGCAAAAGCCAACACCAAGAUGGCCAAGAGCAAACUGAUGGCGACGCCAAAUCCCACCAACCUCCACCCUGCCCUGGGAGCACACUUCAUCGCACGGGAUCCUUACGACCUGACCGGAGCAGCCCUGAUCCCAGCGUCUCCGGAGGCCUGGGCUCCCUACCCGCUCUACACCACGGAGUUAACCCCUGCCAUCCCACAUGCUGCUUUCACAUAUCCAGCUGCUGCCGCCGCCGCCGCCGCCCUUCAUGCUCAGCGAUCUGCAGCCAGGAUUGCGGGUGCAGGCUAGCCCCGAAGGCCCAGAGCUGGCCCCGGAGGCGGGACCGCCCUAGCUCAGCCCGGAGUGGAGUUGGCUGCAGAGCUACUUCAUUCCUAGAGUCCUUUUAAAGGCUGGUGGGCCCCUGUCUGGAAAGGCUGAUGCGCUGGUAUCCUCCUUCUGAAGCGACCCAACAAGGAUGGAAAUCUCGCCAGUUCUGUUAGUUUUUAGGACGCCUCUCGGCCCACGUUCCCCCUCCCUCCCCCAUGGAGCGAUAUGCCAGGGAUGAAGCAGCUGUGGAUCGCUGGAAAUCCUCCUCCCACCCCCCACCCCCAAAUCCUUUCCCGUGGUCACCGGAGAAGGUGCCUCAGUGCAGUAACCCACGCUUCUCGCAAACGAAGCCGUGGGCUUCCCCAUCCAAGACUGUGAAUAGCAACAGCCCCCACCCCCUACUGUGGACUUGCAUGGUCUGUAUUUUGCCUGCCUGUCACUCCGCUUAAGUCCCAGCAAACUCCCGCUGCUGGGGGGCAUGUGUUGGUGUGUGCCCCCCCCCCUUCCUUUUUUGCUACACUGAGGUUGAGUCGGAGAGACCCGAUCUUGGCGGUAGCCAGGUUUGUAGUUUCCCAGCCGGGCCGCUGGCAUGCAGGGCGGUCUAGCUGUAUACAGUGCAAUAUCCAGGCCUUUACGAUGCUCAAUUGUGUUUAUGCAGUUCCGCUGGAGGAAGCGAAGAGACAAUCGGUUUUGCAUGUUUUUUUUUCUUUCUGGCAUGGAUUGACAACACUUUAACUUGGUGGGUGUGUAACGUGUGUGCUUGUUUUCUAGCAUUCGUAUAACCACAGCAACAGGUUCCGGCCUAGCUAUCCAACACUGAAGUUUUUUCCCCACAACUUGCUUCCGUGAAAAACUAGGCAUCUGUCUUGGGUUUCCCGCCCUCCUUCCGUGUUCGACUUCAGAAUAUUGGGAGGGAUUCAAAUGUGCUGGAUUUUGUGUCCAUUUUUUUUUCUCCUCCUUCAGUUCAAGCCAGGGUAGUUUUUGUAUGUGCGUGUGUGUUGUUUUUUCUCUCUGUCAGACUUCUAUAUAUAGAACAGCUGUAAAAUAUUUAACUUCCCCCCCCUCCCCUCACAUCCCUCUCUUGAUUGUUGAGGUUUCAGUCUUGCCAAAUAAUACGCCAUCCUUGCAGGAAUACCGAACAAAAGAUGUACGAGUAUUUUUGUACCUUGUGUAAUAAGGAAAUAUUUAUGCCUCAUAAAAAAAGAUUUUGUGUGGGGUUUUUUUUGUGUGCAAUUAAUUAUUAAAGAGAAACUGUAAUCUGUAAGAUAAGUUUAAAUGUUUAGUUUAAAAGAAAAAGAAAAGCUUGAAGAGGAGAAAAACGAAAAGAACCUUUCUGUAAAACGGUUAUCUGUCAGGCAUAGUAACAAGAGAUUUGUGCCCUUUUUGUUGACCUUUUAUUGCUUGGUAUUGGAAGUGCUUUAAGUAUUAUUAUAUUGGACCAUGGCUGUCUCGCUUGUAUUCGGAUCCUUGAGAAUAAGUUGCUAUAAUCCUAUGAAUGUGAAACUGGAUAAUAUAUGAAUUGUACUCUC